CCUUACCAAGGCUUAAAUGGGAAAUGACAGGUUUAGAAAUAGACUUUUCUUCGGACAUUUUUCAAGGUGCUGCAUGGUUGUCGUCAGCUCGUGCCGUGAGGUGUUAGGUUAAGUCCUGCAACGAGCGCAACCCCUGUCACUAGUUGCCAUCAUUAAGUUGGGGACUCUAGUGAGACUGCCUACGCAAGUAGAGAGGAAGGUGGGGAUGACGUCAAAUCAUCACGGCCCUUACGCCUUGGGCCACACACGUAAUACAAUGGCCGGUACAGAGGGCAGCUACACAGCGAUGUGAUGCAAAUCUCGAAAGCCGGUCUCAGUUCGGAUUGGAGUCUGCAACUCGACUCUAUGAAGCUGGAAUCGCUAGUAAUCGCGCAUCAGCCAUGGCGCGGUGAAUACGUUCCCGGGCCUUGUACACACCGCCCGUCAAGCCAUGGAAGUCUGGGGUACCUGAAGUCGGUGACCGUAACAGGAGCUGCCUAGGGUAAAACAGGUAACUAGGGCUAAGUCGUAACAA
rnacentral:rRNA from 1 species